rnacentral:misc_RNA from 1 species
GGACCAGAGGAUCUUCGUACUCAGUCUUGGCUACUCGGGAUCAAUCUGUUGGAGAGUGAUAUCUGAUACUGCUUGAGGUGCUGCAUUUUGUCAUGCAGUAUGCUGCUGUGUGGCUUGAAUAUUUUGAAUCCAGGGCUCUAGAGCGGCAAGAAGUAGCAUGAAAUGGAACUCCAAAGCCAGAUACAUCUAUUGCAAGCAAAGGUCACC